UUAUCAGAGAGUUUGAUCCUGGCUCAGGAUGAACGCUGGCGGCGUGCUUAACACAUGCAAGUCGAACGGAGAUUAUUUAAACAGAGACUUCGGUUGAAGUUUUUCUAAUCUUAGUGGCGGACGGGUGAGUAACGCGUGGGUAACCUGCCUUGUACUGGGGGAUAACAGCCAGAAAU
rnacentral:rRNA from 1 species